UGAGUACGAGAUGCUACGGCAUCGAAGCAGUCUAUGUCAUACUUCCAAGAAAAGCUUGCACUGUCAUAAACAAAGAAUGCCUGUACCAUAACCGACACAGGUGGGUAGGUAGAGUAUACUAAGGGGCGCGAGAUAACUCUCUCUAAGGAACUCGGCAAAAUGACUCCGUAACUUCGGGAGAAGGAGUGCCUUAUUUAUAAGGUUGCAAUAACAAGAUCCAAGCAACUGUUUACCAAAAACACAGGUCUCCGCUAAGUCGUAAGACGAUGUAUGGGGGCUGACGCCUGCCCAGUGCCAGAAGGUUAAAGAAGUUGGUUAGCAUUCGCGAAGCUGAUAACUGAAGCCCUGGUGAACGGCGGCCGUAACAAUAACGGUCCUAAGGUAGCGAAAUUCCUUGUCGGGUAAGUUCCGACCCGCACGAAAGGCGUAAUGAUUUGGAUACUGUCUCGGAGAGGGGCUCGGUGAAAUAGACUUGUCUGUGAAGAUGCGGACUACCUGCACCUGGACAGAAAGACCCUAUGAAGCUUUACUGUAACUUGAGAUUGAAAUUGGACUUUAUUUGCGCAGUAUAGGUGGGAGGCGUUGAGAGCAGUCUUGCGGGAUUGUUGGAGCCAUCAGUGAGAUACCACUCUUGUAAUGUUAGAUUUCUAACUUUGUAUCAUGAUCUGGUCAAAGAACAGUUUCAGGCGGGCAGUUUGACUGGGGCGGUCGCCUCCUAAAUGGUAACGGAGGCGCACAAAGGUUUCCUCUGAACGGGUAGAAAUCGUAUCUAGAGUGUAAAGGCAUAAGGAAGCUUGACUGUGAGACCUACAAGUCGAGCAGGGACGAAAGUCGGUCUUAGUGAUCUGACGGUGCUGAGUGGAAAGGCCGUCACUCAACGGAUAAAAGUUACUCUAAGGAUAACAGGCUGAUCUCCCCCAAGAGUUCACAUCGACGGGGAGGUUUGGCACCUCGAUGUCGGCUCAUCGCAUCCUGGGGCGGUAGUACGUCCCAAGGGUUGGGCUGUUCGCCCAUGAAAGCGGUACGCGAGCUGGGUUCAGAACGUCGUGAGACAGUUCGGUCCAUAUCCGGUGUAGGCGUUAGAAUAUUGAGAGGAGCCUUCUCUAGUACGAGAGGACCGAGAAGGACAUACCUCUGGUGUACCAGUUAUCGUGCCAACGGUAAACGCUGGGUAGCUAUGUAUGGAGUGGAUAACCGCUGAAAGCAUCUAAGUGGGAAGCCCACCUUAAGAUAAGUAUUCAC
rnacentral:rRNA from 1 species